GAUGGCUGUGCCCCGGAGGAUUUUAACUGCACAGAAGAUGCGACUAUUGACCGCAACCAUGCAGAGCCACAUCCAGCUUCCCAGCACGCUCUGAGGCAGCUGGUCCAGUCUCAUGGCCUGGUCGAUGUGUGAAGAAGGAUGCAUGCAGACUGCCGACAGUACACAUGGUCCCACAUCAGAGGGAUGCGGACCUUUUAAACAGCGUGGUGGAGGAUUUUAGCAAGGCAUCGGCAGCGAGGGUGAACUGGAGGAAAAGCGAAGCCCUUGCCGUCUGUGAAUGGCGUGACGGCCUCCCGGUUCUUCCCCAAAGGGCCAAGCUGGACGUCAGCAGCAGCGUCACCCCUGGCCUGACGGGGGCGCUGCGAAAAACAAAAACAUUGUGCCUGCAGCAGCUGGUGGACGCAGUGGGGCCGACGCUGAGCGAUGCCCUGGCCCUGGGCUCACUGCUUGGGCUGCAUUCGGUCCGGGUGGCGGGGAGGCUCCUGGAGCUGUGGAGCCAAAGGCUGACUGGGGAAGA
ensembl:lncRNA